rnacentral:snRNA from 1 species
GUUUUAGUUUUGACAGCACAUAUACUAAAGCUGAAAUGGCACAUAGAAGAUUUGCAUGGCCUCUGUGUAAUGAUGACAUGUGAAUCAUUCUAUAUUUUU